rnacentral:rRNA from 1 species
GCUUAGAAGUGAGAAUGCCGGUGUGAGUAGCGAAAGACGGGUGAGAAUCCCGUCCACCGAUUGACUAAGGUUUCCAGAGGAAGGCUCGUCCGCUCUGGGUUAGUCGGGUCCUAAGCUGAGGCCGACAGGCGUAGGCGAUGGAUAACAGGUUGAUAUUCCUGUACCACCUAUAAUCGUUUUAAUCGAUGGGGGGACGCAGUAGGAUAGGCGAAGCGUGCGAUUGGAUUGCACGUCUAAGCAGUAAGGCUGAGUAUUAGGCAAAUCCGGUACUCGUUAAGGCUGAGCUGUGAUGGGGAGAAGACAUUGAGUCUUCGAGUCGUUGAUUUCACACUGCCGAGAAAAGCCUCUAGAUAGAAAAUAGGUGCCCGUACCGCAAACCGACACAGGUAGUCAAGAUGAGAAUUCUAAGGUGAGCGAGCGAACUCUCGUUAAGGAACUCGGCAAAAUGACCCCGUAACUUCGGGAGAAGGGGUGCUCUUUAGGGUUAACGCCCAGAAGAGCCGCAGUGAAUAGGCCCAAGCGACUGUUUAUCAAAAACACAGGUCUCUGCUAAACCGUAAGGUGAUGUAUAGGGGCUGACGCCUGCCCGGUGCUGGAAGGUUAAGAGGAGUGGUUAGCUUCUGCGAAGCUACGAAUCGAAGCCCCAGUAAACGGCGGCCGUAACUAUAACGGUCCUAAGGUAGCGAAAUUCCUUGUCGGGUAAGUUCCGACCCGCACGAAAGGCGUAACGAUUUGGGCACUGUCUCAACGAGAGACUCGGUGAAAUCAUAGUACCUGUGAAGAUGCAGGUUACCCGCGACAGGACGGAAAGACCCCGUGGAGCUUUACUGUAGCCUGAUAUUGAAAUUCGGCACAGCUUGUACAGGAUAGGUAGGAGCCUUUGAAACGUGAGCGCUAGCUUACGUGGAGGCGCUGGUGGGAUACUACCCUAGCUGUGUUGGCUUUCUAACCCGCACCACUUAUCGUGGUGGGAGACAGUGUCAGGCGGGCAGUUUGACUGGGGCGGUCGCCUCCUAAAAGGUAACGGAGGCGCUCAAAGGUUCCCUCAGAAUGGUUGGAAAUCAUUCAUAGAGUGUAAAGGCAUAAGGGAGCUUGACUGCGAGACCUACAAGUCGAGCAGGGUCGAAAGACGGACUUAGUGAUCCGGUGGUUCCGCAUGGAAGGGCCAUCGCUCAACGGAUAAAAGCUACCCCGGGGAUAACAGGCUUAUCUCCCCCAAGAGUUCACAUCGACGGGGAGGUUUGGCACCUCGAUGUCGGCUCAUCGCAUCCUGGGGCUGUAGUCGGUCCCAAGGGUUGGGCUGUUCGCCCAUUAAAGCGGUACGCGAGCUGGGUUCAGAACGUCGUGAGACAGUUCGGUCCCUAUCCGUCGUGGGCGUAGGAAAUUUGAGAGGAGCUGUCCUUAGUACGAGAGGACCGGGAUGGACAUACCUCUGGUGUACCAGUUGUCGUGCCAACGGCAUAGCUGGGUAGCUAUGUGUGGACGGGAUAAGUGCUGAAAGCAUCUAAGCAUGAAGCCCCCCUCAAGAUGAGAUUUCCCAACUUCGGUUAUAAGAUCCCUCAAAGAUGAUGAGGUUAAUAGGUUCGAGGUGGAAGCAUGGUGACAUGUGGAGCUGACGAAUACUAAUCGAUCGAAGACUUAAUCAA